rnacentral:misc_RNA from 1 species
CAACAAGGCUAUUUUCAAGCCUCCAAAAGCUAUACGAGGAGGCAUUCCUAUUUGCUUUCCUCAAUUCUCAAAUCAUGGACCUCUUGAGCAACAUGGAUUUGCAAGAAACAAGAUUUGGAGUAUCGACCCUAACCCGCCCCCUUUUCCAACAACUAGCUCUAAUAAAGCUUUUGUGGACCUAAUCCUGAAGCCAACAGAAGAAGAUUUGAAGAUCUGGCCCCACAGCUAUGAAUUUCGCGUGAGGAUUACCCUGUGCCCUGGAGGAGAUCUCAUACUGACAUCCCGCAUCAGAAAUACCAAUACUGAUGGAAAACCGUUCUCAUUUACAUUUGCAUACCACACCUAUUUCUCCGUCUCUGAUAUCAGUGAAGUGCGUGUAGAAGGAUUGGAGACAUUGG